GAUGAACGCUGGCGGCGUGCCUAAUACAUGCAAGUAGAACGCUGAAGGAAGGAGCUUGCUCUUUCCGGAUGAGUUGCGAACGGGUGAGUAACGCGUAGGUAACCUGCCUGGUAGCGGGGGAUAACUAUUGGAAACGAUAGCUAAUACCGCAUAACAGUAGAUGUUGCAUGAUAUCUGCUUAAAAGGUGCAAUUGCACCACUACCAGAUGGACCUGCGUUGUAUUAGCUAGUUGGUGAGGUAACGGCUCACCAAGGCGACGAUACAUAGCCGACCUGAGAGGGUGAUCGGCCACACUGGGACUGAGACACGGCCCAGACUCCUACGGGAGGCAGCAGUAGGGAAUCUUCGGCAAUGGACGGAAGUCUGACCGAGCAACGCCGCGUGAGUGAAGAAGGUUUUCGGAUCGUAAAGCUCUGUUGUAAGAGAAGAACGAGUGUGAGAGUGGAAAGUUCACACUGUGACGGUAUCUUACCAGAAAGGGACGGCUAACUACGUG
rnacentral:rRNA from 1 species